UUGAUGUUCUAACGUGGACCCGUAAUCCGGGUUGCGGACAGUGUCUGGUGGGUAGUUUGACUGGGGCGGUCUCCUCCUAAAGAGUAACGGAGGAGCACGAAGGUUGGCUAAUCCUGGUCGGACAUCAGGAGGUUAGUGCAAUGGCAUAAGCCAGCUUGACUGCGAGCGUGACGGCGCGAGCAGGUGCGAAAGCAGGUCAUAGUGAUCCGGUGGUUCUGAAUGGAAGGGCCAUCGCUCAACGGAUAAAAGGUACUCCGGGGAUAACAGGCUGAUACCGCCCAAGAGUUCAUAUCGACGGCGGUGUUUGGCACCUCGAUGUCGGCUCAUCACAUCCUGGGGCUGAAGUAGGUCCCAAGGGUAUGGCUGUUCGCCAUUUAAAGUGGUACGCGAGCUGGGUUUAGAACGUCGUGAGACAGUUCGGUCCCUAUCUGCCGUGGGCGCUGGAGAACUGAGGGGGGCUGCUCCUAGUACGAGAGGACCGGAGUGGACGCAUCACUGGUGUUCGGGUUGUCAUGCCAAUGGCACUGCCCGGUAGCUAAAUGCGGAAGAGAUAAGUGCUGAAAGCAUCUAAGCACGAAACUUGCCCCGAGAUGAGUUCUCCCUGAGACUUAGAGUCUCCUGAAGGAACGUUGAAGACGACGACGUUGAUAGGCCGGGUGUGUAAGCGCAGCGAUGCGUUGAGCUAACCGGUACUAAUGAACCGUGAGGCUUAACCUU
rnacentral:rRNA from 1 species